UUUAGCUCAUUUGAUAACAAACCUCAAUGUGAAGUUUGCUCCAAUGGUGAUUUGAGAUUUGGUGUAGGGAGAGGAAUUGGAGAAGAUGAAGUAAGAGGAUCAAAGUUGGAUUUGCAAUGAGAAAUUUGAGAGAAUGAUAAAGUUCUGAGUUUUUUUUUUGGUGUAAUGAGGGUGAUUUGUUUAUAUAGGUUAUAGGUUUGGAUCAAAUGGAGGUUUGGAGUUCGUUUUGAUGUGGCUUGGAAUUAGUUGAAUGAGGCUUGGAGUUUGU
rnacentral:lncRNA from 1 species